UCUUAUGAAAGAGCAAAGAAAGUAGUUUCUUAAGAUGAAACCUACUCCUGAUGAAGAUGCUGUGAA
rnacentral:pre_miRNA from 1 species